UCCCCAUAGUAUUGUGGGUAGGCAUCUAUCUGCAAUUAAAGUUUCGACGGUAUAUGAUUGGUGUGCGUUCCAUUAGCUAGUUGGUAGGGUAACGGCCUACCAAGGCGACGAUGGGUAGCUGGCGUGAGAGCGCGACCAGCCACACUGGAACUGAGACACGGUCCAGACUCCUACGGGAGGCAGCAGUAGGGAAUAUUGGACAAUGGGCGAAAGCCUGAUCCAGCCAUGCCGCGUGAUAGAUGAAGGCCCUCUGGGUUGUAAAUAUCUUUUAUCUGGGAAGAAACUCCUCUAUUCUUAGAGGCCUGACGGUACCAGAGGAAUAAGCACCGGCUAACUCCGUG
rnacentral:rRNA from 1 species